CCAGUCCAUCCUAAAGGAAAUUCGUCCUGAAUAUUUAUUGGAAGGACUGAUGUUGAAGCUGAAACUCCAAUUCUUUGGCCACCUGAUGCAAAGAACUGACUCAUUUGAAAAGACCCUGAUGCUGGGAAAGAUUGAAGGCAGGAGGAGAAGGGAACGGAGAUGACAGAGGAUGAGAUGGUUGGAUGGCAUCACGGACUCAAUGGACGGGAUCUUCCCGACCCAGGGAUCAAACACGCAUCUCCUACACUGGCAGUUGGAUUCUUUACCGUGGAGCCACUGGGGAAGCCAUCAACUUACCAUCAGUUCAGUUCAGUUCAGCCACUCAGUCGUGUCCGACUCUUUGCGACCCCAUGAAUCACAGCACGCCAGGCCUCCCUGUCCACCACCAACUCCUGGAGUUCAACCAAACUCUUGUGCAUCGAGUCGGUGAUGUCAACCAGCCAUCUCAUCCUCUGUCGUCCCCUUCUCCUCCUGUCCCCAAUACCUCCCAGCAUCAGGGUCCUUUCCAAUGAGUCAACUCUUCACAUGAGGUGGCCAAAGUAUUGGAGUUUCAGCCUCAGCAUCAGUCCUUCCAAUGAGCACCCAGGUCUGGUCUCCUUUAGGAUGACUGGUUGGAUCUCCUUGCAGUCCAAGGGACUCUCAAGAGUCUUCUCCAACACCACAGUUCAAAAGCAUCAAUUCUUCGGUGCUCAGCUUUCUUCACAGUCCAACUCUCACAUCCAUACAUGACAACAGGAAAAACCAUAGCCUUGACUAGACAGACCUUUGUUGGCAAAGUAAUGUCUCUGCUUUUGAAUAUGCUGUCUAGGUUGUUCACAACUUUUCUUCCAAGGAGUAAGCGUCUUUUAAUUUCAUGGCUGCAAUCACCAUUUGCAGUGAUUUUUGAGCCCCCAAAAAUAAAGUCUGACACUGUUUCUACUGUUUCCCCAUCUAUUUCCCAUGAAGUGAUGGGACCAGAUGCCAUGAUCUUAGUUUUCUGAAUGUUGAGCUUUAAGCCAACUUUUUCAUUCUCCUCUUUCACUUUCAUCAAGAGGCUCUUCAGUACCUCUUCACUUUCUGCCAUAAGGGUGGUGUCAUCUGCAUAUCUGAGGUUAUUCAUAUUUCUCCUGGCAAUCUUGUUUCCAGCUUGUGCUUCCUCCAGCCCAGCCCAACGUUUCUCAUGAUGUACUCUGCAUAGAAGUUAAAUAAGCAGGUUGACAAUAUGCAGCCUUGACGUACUCCUUCUCCUAUUUGGAACCAGUCUGUCGUUCCAUGUCCAGUUCUAACUGUUGCUUCCUGACUUGCAUACAGAUUUCUCAAGAAGCAGGUCAGGUGGUCUGGUAUUCCCAUCUCUUUCAGAAUUUUCCACAAUUUAUUGUGAUCCACACAGUCAAAGGCUUUGGCAUAGUCAAUAAAACAGAAAUAGAUGUUUUUCUGGAACUCUAUUGCUUUUUUGAUGAUCCAGCGCAUGUUGGCAAUUUGAUCUCUGGUUCCUCUGCCUUUUCUAAAACCACCUUGAACAUCUGGAAACUCACGGUUCACGUAUUGCUGAAGCCUGGCUUGGAGAAUUUUGAGCAUUACUUUACUAGCGUGUACCUUACUACCCAGCAAUCCACUCCUAGAUGUUUACACAGAGUCCCUGAAUGUAAAUGUUAAUUACAGCUUUAUUCAGAGUAGCCCAGAGGUGGAAACAAAUGUCCCUCAACAGGUGAAGGCAGACAUAGAGGAGUAUAUCCACACUCUGGAGUGGAGACAAAAACCAUCUGGUCCACGCAACUGCGUGGGUGAACCUCGACGCCCUGGAUGCAUAGCAGGAGGAGCUGGACACAGAAGACUUCUCUUGCAGGGACUCAUCCUGUGUGGAAUUCAUCUGUCAGAAACUGGAUCACUUGUUGGUUGUCUGGGUUGGGAGGAUUGACUGAGAAAGGACAAGGUGGGACCUUGCAGGUGACAAAUGUUCUAUAGUGAUUGGGGUGGUGGUAGAUAUAGGGCUUUAUACAGUUCUCACAAGCCUUGAAAUGCCAGUAUUUCUUAAAGAUUUUUUGAUGUUGACCAUUUUUAAAGUCUUUAUUGAAUUUGUUACAAUAUUGCUUCUGUUUCUUACAUUUUCGUUUUUUUUGACCAGGAGUCACAUGGAAUUUCAGUUGAAUCAGGGAUCAAACCUGUAACUCCUGCAUUGGAAGGCAGAUUCUUAACCACUGGACUGAUACAGGAGAGAAGAGGGCAGAACACAAAGAAUGACAUAGAAAGAAUGACAUAGCCCGAGGACACAACAUAGAAUGAUUAGAAUCAAAUGGGAUCUGUAUGGCAACUUUGACUACACCUAGAUCCUUUACAUGCUCAUUCUAACAUAUCAGCAAGUUAAAUGAUACAUCCAGAGGUGCCAUGACAGUUGCAAAGCCAAAAAGACCAUCAAAGACCAAAAACUCGGUGGUGGCCCAAUUCCUGGAAAUCUCCCACUUUUCCCAAGUGAUUGAAAUAAUCCUCCCACUCAUUAGCCUAUGAAAUUACCUAGCUUAUAAAAGCUAACCACACCACAUUCCGAGGCAACACUCACCUUCUGAGAUGUCUGUGGAAUGUGUUUGUCUCUAAAUAAAUCCACGUCUUAUCUAUCACUUUGUCUCUCACUGAAUUCUUUCUGCAAUGAAACAUCAAGAACCAGAGCUUCAUUAGGUCCUGAAACCAGG
ensembl:lncRNA